UUUUGGACAAUGGGCGCAAGCCUGAUCCAGCCAUGCCGCGUGAGUGAAGAAGGCCUUCGGGUUGUAAAGCUCUUUCGGCGGGGACGAAACGGUUCGUGCUAAUACCACGGACUACUGACGGUACCCGCAGAAGAAGCACCGGCUAACUACGUGCCAGCAGCCGCGGUAAUACGUAGGGUGCAGGCGUUAAUCGGAAUUACUGGGCGUAAAGCGUGCGCAGGCGGUUUGUUAAGACAGGUGUGAAAUCCCCGGGCUUAACCUGGGAAUUGCGCUUGUAACUGGUAGACUGGAGUGUGGCAGAGGGGGGUGGAAUUCCAAGUGUAGCAGUGAAAUGCGUAGAUAUUUGGAGGAACACCGAUGGCGAAGGCAGCCCCCUGGGCUAACACUGACGCUCAUGCACGAAA
rnacentral:rRNA from 1 species